rnacentral:rRNA from 1 species
UACGAAGGGGGCUAGCGUUGUUCGGAAUCACUGGGCGUAAAGCGCACGCAGGCGGAUCGUUAAGUCAGGGGUGAAAUGCCGAGGCUCAACCUCGGAACUGCCUUUGAUACUGGCGACCUUGAGUCCGGGAGAGGUGAGUGGAACUCCUGGUGUAGCGGUGGAAUGCGCAGAUAUCAGGAAGAACACCAACGGCGAAGGCAGCUCGCUGGGACGGUACUGACGCUGAGACGCGAAAGCGUGGGGAGCGAACAGG